CACCCUACUAACCAGGGCUGCCCACCCAGACUCCCAGAGGGCAUACCUGGGGCUGGAAACUCCCUCCCUCCAUGUCUGCAGAUACCUGUAUGAAGUGAGGACUCAAAUGUACUCCCUGUGGUCUGGGGUCAAAAAAGCAACAAAGACUCUGGAACCCACUCUGUGUCCUCGAUGCCUUGGCCAUCUGUGGAGCCCCAGAGCCUGCAGCUGUGGCAAGCCCUGUUUCUGUGCUGGACCUGCUCACCUGAGCCUGCAGAAGCCGCAUGGGAGCAAGUGUGACAAAUAGUGACAGGAAGGGAGAAGACAAAAGCCUCUCAGCCACCUGCGUCAGCCAAGUCCCCACCCUAAGCACUAGCUUGCUGGACAGCAGCUGAUAUGUUCCUGAAACCUCUGCAGGCCCCUUAGGAUCUUUAUGCCUCGGAUGAGGAUGCCUGCAACCCAGGUUAGCCCACAGUACUGACAGUCUUACGUUUGAAGUGUCCAAAGUAUAGGGAGGUCUAAAUAACAGUCUCUACCAUAGGUAUCAGC